rnacentral:rRNA from 1 species
GAACCUGAAACCGUGUACGUACAAGCAGUGGGAGCCCCACCACUAAGCCAGUGGUGAACUCCACAUACGCAUCCUUUGCUGAGGAUACGGUUAACGGAGCGAAAGCGACGUUCAACCGCAAAAGAAGCAGAGGGGGCUUAGUGGUGGGGUGACUGCGUACCUUUUGUAUAAUGGGUCAGCGACUUAUAUUCUGUAGCAAGGUUAACCGAAUAGGGGAGCCGGAGGGAAACCGAGUCUUAACCGGGCGUUAAGUUGCAGGGUAUAGACCCGAAACCCGGUGAUCUAGCCAUGGGCAGGUUGAAGGUUGGGUAACACUAACUGGAGGACCGAACCGACUAAUGUUGAAAAAUUAGCGGAUGACCUGUGGCUGGGGGUGAAAGGCCAAUCAAACCGGGAGAUAGCUGGUUCUCCCCGAAAGCUAUUUAGGUAGCGCCUCGUGAAUUCAUCUCCGGGGGUAGAGCACUGUUUCGGCUAGGGGGCCAUCCCGGCUUACCAACCCGAUGCAAACUGCGAAUACCGGAGAAUGUUAUCACGGGAGACACACGGCGGGUGCUAACGUCCGUCGUGAAGAGGGAAACAACCCAGACCGCCAGCUAAGGUCCCAAAGUCAUGGUUAAGUGGGAAACGAUGUGGGAAGGCCCAGACAGCCAGGAUGUUGGCUUAGAAGCAGCCAUCAUUUAAAGAAAGCGUAAUAGCUCACUGGUCGAGUCGGCCUGCGCGGAAGAUGUAACGGGGCUAAACCAUGCACCGAAGCUGCGGCAGCGAACGUAUCACUUAAAGCGAUUCAGCGGGUUACGAUUGACGGAGCGAAGCGACGUCAAAGCGUAUACAAAGUCGAGUCGGUUUAAGGAUACGUUCGUUGGGUAGGGGAGCGUUCUGUAAGCCUGUGAAGGUGGCCUGUGAGGGUUGCUGGAGGUAUCAGAAGUGCGAAUGCUGACA